UGGGGAAUAUUGCACAAUGGGCGAAAGCCUGAUGCAGCAACGCCGCGUGAGUGAUGAAGGCCUUCGGGUUGUAAAGCUCUGUCUUCUGGGACGAUAAUGACGGUACCAGAGGAGGAAGCCACGGCUAACUACGUGCCAGCAGCCGCGGUAAUACGUAGGUGGCAAGCGUUGUCCGGAUUUACUGGGCGUAAAGGAUGCGUAGGCGGAUACUUAAGUCAGAUGUGAAAAUCCCGGGCUUAACUUGGGAACUGCAUUUGAAACUGGGUAUCUAGAGUGCGGGAGAGGAAAGUGGAAUUCCUAGUGUAGCGGUGAAAUGCGUAGAGAUUAGGAAGAACACCCGUGUCGAAGGCGACUUUCUGGACCGUAACUGACGCUGAGGCAUGAAAGCGUGGGGAGCAAACA
rnacentral:rRNA from 1 species